rnacentral:rRNA from 1 species
AUGAUAGGUGCCCCUUUCUACUCCUCGUCCCCAAUGUCCUGCGUGCCUCCUCCUCAGCUGAUGGUUGUUGUCCGCCGACACCUUCAUCACCACCCCAUACAACACGCCCUUCAUCCGCGGCCUCGGUGUUGGCGCCAACAUUAUUGUGGUCAUCGUAGAGCUACCCGUUCCCCUUCGAGGACACCCUGGAGAGCACGGACGAUCUGUCAUCCUAAACUUCAUCACUGCAGUGCGCACGCUCUGUCCGACAUUCUCCAAUCCUCAUCCCCCACAUUCCUCCGUGAUACAUAUCCUCCUCUUUUCAAUCCCCGUCUCUUUGUGAGCGCCACCUCCCAUCGCCGGCGCUCUUGUCCACCCAAUCCCCUUCUCGUCAGCUUGCUCAUGGACGUUCCUCCCUCUCGUCAACCUCACCGAACUGUCUUUCACAACUCCACUCCAUCCACUAGCACCACCUCCCCAACUUGCUGA